AUUGAACGCUGGCGGCAUGCCUUACACAUGCAAGUCGAACGGCAGCACGGGAGCAAUCCUGGUGGCGAGUGGCGAACGGGUGAGUAAAGUAUCGGAACGUGCCCAGUCGUGGGGGAUAACGUAGCGAAAGUUACGCUAAUACCGCAUACGAUCUAUGGAUGAAAGCGGGGGAUCGCAAGACCUCGCGCGAUUGGAGCGGCCGAUAGCAGAUUAGGUAGUUGGUGGGGUAAAGGCGCACCAAGCCGACGAUCUGUAGCUGGUCUGAGAGGACGACCAGCCACACUGGGACUGAGACACGGCCCAGACUCCUACGGGAGGAAGAAGUGGUGAAUUUUGGACAAUGGGCGAAAGCCUGAUCCAGCCAUGCCGCGUGCAGGAUGAAGGCCUUCGGGUUGUAAACUGCUUUUGUACGGAACGAAAAGGUUUGGCCUAAUAAGCUGAGCUCAUGACGGUACCGUAAGAAUAAGCACCGGCUAACUACGUGCCAGCAGCCGCCGUAA
rnacentral:rRNA from 1 species